CCUACGGGUGGCAGCAGUGAGGAAUAUUGGUCAAUGGGCGCGAGCCUGAACCAGCCAAGUAGCGUGAAGGAUGACUGCCCUACGGGUUGUAAACUUCUUUUAUAAAGGAAUAAAGUGAGGCACGUGUGCAUUUUUGUAUGUACUUUCUGAAUAAGGAUCGGCUAACUCCGUGCCAGCAGCCGCGGUAAUACGGAGGCUCCGAGCGUUAUCCGGAUUUAUUGGGUGUAAAGGGAGCGUAGUGGGGUUGGUAAGUCAGUUGUGAAAGUUUGCGGGUCAACCGUAAAAUUGCAAUUGGUACUGUCAGCCUUGAGUACAGUUGAGGUAGGCGGAAUUCGUGGUGUAGCGGUGAAAUGCUUAGAGAUCACGAAGAACUCCGAUUGCGAAGGCAGCUUACUAAACUGCCACUGACAUUGAUGCUCGAAAGUGUGGGUAUCAAACAGGAUUAGAUACCCGGGUAGUC
rnacentral:rRNA from 1 species